UGGGGAAUUUUGGACAAUGGGGGCAACCCUGAUCCAGCAAUGCCGCGUGUGUGAAGAAGGCCUUCGGGUUGUAAAGCACUUUUGUCCGGAAAGAAAACGCCGUGGUUAAUACCCGUGGCGGAUGACGGUACCGGAAGAAUAAGCACCGGCUAACUACGUGCCAGCAGCCGCGGUAAUACGUAGGGUGCAAGCGUUAAUCGGAAUUACUGGGCGUAAAGCGUGCGCAGGCGGUCCGCUAAGACAGAUGUGAAAUCCCCGGGCUUAACCUGGGAACUGCAUUUGUGACUGGCGGGCUAGAGUAUGGCAGAGGGGGGUAGAAUUCCACGUGUAGCAGUGAAAUGCGUAGAGAUGUGGAGGAAUACCGAUGGCGAAGGCAGCCCCCUGGGCCAAUACUGACGCUCAUGCACGAAAGCGUGGGGAGCAAACAGGAUUAGAUACCCUGGUAGUCCACGCCCUAAACGAUGUCAACUAGUUGUCGGGUCUUCAUUGACUUGGUAACGUAGCUAACGCGUGAAGUUGACCGCCUGGGGAGUACGGUCGCAAGAUUAAAAACUCAAAUG
rnacentral:rRNA from 1 species